rnacentral:rRNA from 1 species
CUCGUAGGCGGCCAACUAAGUCGGAUGUGAAAUCCCCAGGCUUAACUUGGGAAUGGCAUCCGAUACUGGAUGGCUUGAAUCCGGGAGAGGGAUGCGGAAUUCCAGGUGUAGCGGUGAAAUGCGUAGAUAUCUGGAGGAACACCGGUGGCGAAGGCGGCAUCCUGGACCGGCAUUGACGCUGAGGAGCGAAAGCCAGGGGAGCAAACG